GGCAUCAAUUGAGUUUGGUUCAGUUUUCUUUUCUGUGAUAACAGGACAACACUGAGUUUAGUGCCUCACAAUUGUGCUCUCUCUCCUCUAGUACACAGAAAUGCUCUCCAUACCUUGCCACUGCUGCUGGGAAGGAACAGGGGAGGAGUGACAUUGAGAUUCAAGACUAUUUUUCCUACCUCUUCAGUGCCUCUUUCAGCCAUAUGAAGUUAAAACCAGGUCUCAUUCUGUCAUUGAGGCUGAAGUGCAGUAGCACAAUCUCAGCUCACUGCAGCCUCUACCUUCAAGGUUCAAGCAAUUCUUCCACCUCAGCUUCCUGAGUAGCUGGGACUACAGGUGUGCACCACCAGGCCUGGAUAAUAUUCACAUUUUUUU
rnacentral:lncRNA from 10 species